rnacentral:sRNA from 1 species
CAGUCUCUAUCUGCUGUGGGCAAAUAAAAUGCACAUGAGUAUCAAUACCGCCUGCAGUAAUAAUCAUACCCUCACCAGCUACAGCUUCAGUACUUGCUCCAACAACCAUAGUUACGCCAUCUUGAAUAUCUGGAUUGCCAGCCUUUCCUAUACCUACGAUAUUGCCAUCUUUAAUGCCUAUAUCCGCUUUAACAAUCCCCCAAUAAUCUAAAAUUAAAGCAUUGGAUUACCAUAUCUAGCGCGCCUUCUAGCGAUGAUAGAGUAGCACUACAG